rnacentral:rRNA from 1 species
UGACCAGACUCCUACGGGAGGCAGCAGUGGGGAAUAUUGCACAAUGGGGGGAACCCUGAUGCAGCGACGCCGCGUGGGCGAGGAAGUAUUUCGGUAUGUAAAGCCCUAUCGGCAGGGAAGAAGAAAUGACGGUACCUGAAUAAGAAGCACCGGCUAAAUACGUGCCAGCAGCCGCGGUAAUACGUAUGGAGCAAGCGUUAUCCGGAUUUACUGGGUGUAAAGGGAGCGCAGGCGGCCUUGCAAGUCUGAUGUGAAAGGCCGGGGCCCAACCCCGGGACUGCAUUGGAAACUGCGAGGCUGGAGUGUCGGAGAGGCAGGCGGAAUUCCUGGUGUAGCGGUGAAAUGCGUAGAUAUCACGCAGAACCCCGAUUGCGAAGGCAGCAUACCGGUGCACAACUGACGCUCAGGCACGAAAGCGUGGGUAUCGAACAGGAUUAGAUACGGGUAGC